GGCCGCGGUACUUUGACCGUGCUAAGGUAGCGCAAUCAAUUGGCUUUUAAUUGAAGCCAUGUAUGAAUGGAAUCACGGGGUUUAGCUGUCUCUUAGCUAUUAUAUCGAAAUUACUAUUUAGGUGAAAAAGCCUAAAAAAAGAAAAAGGACGAGAAGACCCUUAGAGUUUUUCUAAAAUUACAAUUAUUUCUAAAACAGUUUAGUUGGGGCAACAUAGGAACAUUAUUUUAACCUCCUGUAAAAUACUUACCGAUCUUAAUAAAUUUGAAUAAACUACCUUAGGGAUAACAGCAUAAUUUUAUAAAUAAGUUUGUGACCUCGAUGUUGGACUAGGAAACUGAAAGGCUAGCCGCC
rnacentral:rRNA from 1 species